GGAGUUGUAGCUCAGCAGUAGAGCACUUGCCUUACAUGUGUGAGGCACUGGGUUCAAUUCCUAGCACCA
rnacentral:tRNA from 1 species